rnacentral:tRNA from 2 species
CGGGGCGUAGCGCAGUCCGGGAGCGCACUUGUAUGGGGUACAAGUGGUCGGUGGUUCAAAUCCACUCGCCCCGACCA